UGUCGCGGAAAAUGAAGUUGAUUGUGCUGCCCGUAUCGAGGAGAUCCCUAGUGACGUUGAGAUCGAUCAUGAGUGGAUCGUAAAAGGUUUCCGAUUCCGAAUCUGCGUAUGAGCGUUACAACAAGGUAAGAGCAUUGGCUACGAGAGCUGUCGGCCAGAUCCCUAGUUCUAACAACCUAAGACUACAAAAACCUAGUUGAGUCGCAGCUCGAUAACAAAUAUGGAAAGUUGCAUAUUGUUUUAAUUGCUAAGUUUGCUCUGGGUAGAAAUUUUGCGCCCUUCUGCAUCUUCAACCUCGACGUCCUUAUAUAGUCCUCCUAGAGGCGGUUUUCUCUUUCCUUUUCUGCCCU
rnacentral:lncRNA from 1 species